rnacentral:rRNA from 1 species
UACGAAGGGGGCUAGCGUUGCUCGGAAUCACUGGGCGUAAAGGGUGCGUAGGCGGGUCUUUGAGUCCGGGGUGAAAUCCUGGAGCUCAACUCCAGAACUGCCUUUGAUACUGAAGAUCUUGAGUUCGGGAGAGGUGAGUGAAACUGCGAGUGUAGAGGUGAAAUUCGUAGAUAUUCGCAAGAACACCAGUGGCGAAGGCGGCUCACUGGCCCGAUACUGACGCUGAGGCACGAAAGCGUGGGGAGCAAACAGG